CAGUCGCCGCGGUAACACGGAGGGAGCUAGCGUUGUUCGGAAUUACUGGGCGUAAAGCGCGCGUAGGCGGUUACUCAAGUCAGAGGUGAAAGCCCGGGGCUCAACCCCGGAACUGCCUUUGAAACUAGGUGACUAGAAUCUUGGAGAGGUCAGUGGAAUUCCGAGUGUAGAGGUGAAAUUCGUAGAUAUUCGGAAGAACACCAGUGGCGAAGGCGACUGACUGGACAAGUAUUGACGCUGAGGUGCGAAAGCGUGGGGAGCAAACAGGAUUAGAUACCCGGGUAGUCCCUGUCUCUUAUAC
rnacentral:rRNA from 1 species